rnacentral:misc_RNA from 1 species
GAAUUUUUAAAUUAAACUUGAGUCAAUUAGCAUUGACAAAGGUUUUUAGCAGUACAAAAGUUAAUUUACAUCUGCCGACAUUUUUCUUUUGAUAUGGACUGAAUAAAUUUUUGAAGAAAAGAUAAAUUCAAAGGUUCAAAUUAUAACACUUUUAACACUACCAAACAUACACUCCAAUACUUUAAUUCAAUAACUCACAUCUAUAGACAUUAAUAAUUAGCUACAAAGGAAGCAAAAUGAAUAGGGUUUACAAGCUUUAUUUACCUAGUUUGGAUUCAAGGGAACACGAAGUCACAAAACCCAUCAAGUAAAGAGAGGAAAAGGAAAGAUAGUGAAUGAAAGCCUUUUCUCCUCUCUUUUGUGUGUUUCGACCCUUUCUUUAAUCACCUGUGCAUUGAAAAUAGCACACAAGAAGAGAGAAUUUUCCUCUUCCUUUUUCUUUUUCUCUUUCCCUAAGCAAAAGAAAGAGAUGCAACUAUAUGGAAGAAUUGUAGCUUCUCUAAUAACUCUUUUGCAUGGCUUGUGGCUCGGCGCUCCACCCGUAAAAACAGCUCUUCACUUAGCCGGUCCCCAAUAUGAGCAUCAACAAGCACCCCGGAGACACUCCGGCAGGUGUUGGCUAAAGCUCGGCCGACCUCAGCUGCAUUAUCAGGACAAUCAACCACCAGAGGACUUCCUCCUUUGAAAACCUCAAGCUUGUUUAUGGUAAAUGAGCCAUGUGCUUCGACCACAUCCUUGAAGUCUUGAAGGCUCGGUGCAAAGACCGGAAUAUUGAAAUUAUCACGCUUCUCACUUGUAAUAAGCCCCUCUUGGACAAGAUCAUCCCAAGCAUCCUGAUAGUGGGCCCCAAAUAAGAGGCCAGCCCCACCUUGGUCUGUGGGGUCCACAGAAGUCCUACCCAAGCAGACAAGGAACAUGGACCCACCUCUUUUCAUUUCUUGUGAUCUUGCUCUAAGGAAUCCUGCAAGGUCAGUUUGAAACCGGUGCUUGUAAGCAUUUGCUGUGGAUUCACUGGCACCAUGGAUAAACACCCUCUCUUUGUUGUAUGCAUUUGAUCUCUUGUCUACCACACUCUCUGGCACCUGAGAGAGCCAAUGCAAGGAAAAUGCUGAGUGAAACACAUCUAUCGAUCUGGCUGGAAAAAGUCUCCGGUAAAACGAACCGGGGACUCCAGCUGCAAAAUAAUUUCUGUGGCCACUGGCAGCUAGACACUCUUCCAUGCUUCCUCCGUAAUUGGCCAAGGGAGGAAGGAGUUGAAAAAGAGUAUUAAAGUCGUUGCUAGGGAGAUCAGAGAAAAAAGCGGAGAACUCAGGAGGCUCAAGUCCUGAUGACUCGAAUCGCUUGAUUAUGUGCUUAAUAAUCACGUCAAUGAUGUAUAUUGUGUUGCUGCCGGAAGAGCAUCCCAAGUCCACCACUUGAAAUGGGACCUCGGGGGAGCUGAGGUGCACCAUAUCUAGGGUUUCUUCAAGAAGGUGAAGCAUAGAUCGAGCAUGUAAGGCCUGGGCUUGGGAGUUAUUGGCAUAGCUAGCCUCUCCUUUGCCUCCUUUCAUACAAAGCAAUUUCUCAAGCUUGAUGUUAGAAACAACAACAUUGUCUCCUUUAGGAGCCAUGGAUGAUAGUUGUAGUGCUGUAUUGUUUGAGAAAAUGA